rnacentral:lncRNA from 1 species
UGAGAACCGGAAAGCAUUCAAGUAGGUCAUUUCAAGGAGUAUGACUGACAUUUAAUGGGUUAAAAUAAGCCCGUAAUGGUACCAUAAAACAGGGGUGCAAUCUUGGGUACCCAAGAGUGGCACUCUCUAUCAUCUACUUUACUUCCUGUAAAAGUUUACGGCACCCAACUUGCCUAAGCUGUCCUGCCAGAAAAGUUUCCGGAAAAGAUGACGUAGUGGAUGACCUGGCGCAAUAUGGCUGGCCAGGCUGUUGCUGGGGAAAUUUUUUGUAUGUAAUACGCAGUACGUUGCCGCAAUACGGCAGUGCGUUGCGGUAAAACGCGGUGAGGUAAUGGCUGCUGAGCUGGCAGCACGUUCCUGCUGUCCUUAACGUAAGGUCACGUUGGAAAACGGAAUGGUGUAAUCACGCUAGAAGCUGGCGCUUCUGGGAAAGAGGGCAAUGAGUCGGUGGUUUUUUAGAGGCCUGACCGCUAUCCUGUAAAACGCUUUUGUAGCAUAUUUCACCAAUUUUUUUCUGAUGCCGCUAUAUUGACAGUGUGUACCUUUCUUUCAGAAUCUAUAGAGAAGAACAGCGAUGUCCGAUGGGAUCUUGGAAGGUUGCCGGGAGUGUACAGAUCGGCAAUUGCAUCUUAGAUACGGACAUACGAAAUCUUUCAGGAGGAAGACAUUGGGAACUUGUUCUCAUUUAGGUGGCUACCAGUGGUUUGAUUGCAGCCAGGAGAGCCAGUGA